rnacentral:rRNA from 1 species
GAUGAACGCUGGCGGCGUGCCUAAUACAUGCCAGUCGAGCGAACAGAUGAGGAGCUUGCUCCUCUGACGUUAGCGGCGGACGGGUGAGUAACACGUGGAUAACCUACCUAUAAGACUGGGAUAACUUCGGGAAACCGGAGCUAAUACCGGAUAAUAUAUUGAACCGCAUGGUUCAAUAGUGAAAGACGGUUUUGCUGUCACUUAUAGAUGGAUCCGCGCCGCAUUAGCUAGUUGGUAAGGUAACGGCUUACCAAGGCGACGAUGCGUAGCCGACCUGAGAGGGUGAUCGGCCACACUGGAACUGAGACACGGUCCAGACUCCUACGGGAGGCAGCAGUAGGGAAUCUUCCGAAAUGGGCGAAAGCCUGACGGAGCAACGCCGCGUGAGUGAUGAAGGUCUUCGGAUCGUAAAACUCUGUUAUUAGGGAAGAACAAAUGUGUAAGUAACUAUGCACGUCUUGACGGUACCUAAUCAGAAAGCCACGGCUAACUACGUG